AUUGAACGCUGGCGGCAUGCUUUACACAUGCAAGUCGAACGGCAGCGCGGGGGCAACCCUGGCGGCGAGUGGCGAACGGGUGAGUAAUGCAUCGGAACGUAUCCUGUAAUGGGGGAUAACGUAGCGAAAGUUACGCUAAUACCGCAUACGCUCGAGAGAGGAAAGUGGGGGAUCGCAAGACCUCACGUUAUAGGAGCGGCCGAUGUCCGAUUAGCUAGUUGGUGGGGUAAAGGCCUACCAAGGCGACGAUCGGUAGCUGGUCUGAGAGGAUGAUCAGCCACACUGGGACUGAGACACGGCCCAGAGUCCUACGGGAGGCAGCAGUGGGGAAUUUUGGACAAUGGGCGAAAGCCUGAUCCAGCCAUGCCGCGUGCGGGAAGAAGGCCUUCGGGUUGUAAACCGCUUUAGUCCGGGAAAAAGGGGUGCGAGGAUAAUACCCUCGUGCUUUGAUGGUACUGGAAGAAUAGGCACCGGCUAACUACGUGCCAGCAGCCGCGGUAAUACGUAGGGUGCGAGCGUUAAUCGGAAUUACUGGGCGUAAAGCGUGCGCAGGCGGUCUUGUAAGACAGUCGUGAAAGCCCCGGGCUUAACCUGGGAACUGCGAUUGUGACUGCAAGGCUAGAGUGUGUCAGAGGGGGGUGGAAUUCCACGUGUAGCAGUGAAAUGCGUAGAGAUGUGGAGGAACACCGAUGGCGAAGGCAGCCCCCUGGGAUAACACUGACGCUCAUGCACGAAAGCGUGGGGAGCAAACAGGAUUAGAUACCCUGGUAGUCCACGCCCUAAACGAUGUCAACUGGUUGUUGGA
rnacentral:rRNA from 1 species